rnacentral:misc_RNA from 1 species
GAUGAAGAACGUAGCGAAAUGCGAUAAGUAGUGUGAAUUGCAGAAUUCAGUGAAUCAUCGAAUCUUUGAACGCACAUUGCGCCCUUCGGUAUUCCGUUGGGCAUGCCUGUUCGAGCGUCAUUUAAACCUUCAAGCUAUGCUUGGUGUUGGGUGUUUGUUCCGCCUCUGCGCGUGGACUCGCCUCAAAUUCAUUGGCAGCCGGUAUGUUGGCUUCGUGCGCAGCACAUUGCAAGCGACUUCAACAGACCUCAUUCCAUAAGCCUUUUUUUUACUUUGACCUCGGAUCAGGUAGGGAUACCCGCUGAACUUAAGCAUAUCAAUAAGCGGAGGA